AAGAAGACNAAACCUGGGUUUUCGUGUCCAACGUUUGACUAUCUGUCUUAUAUGAAAUUUUUUAUAAUUAGUAUUUUCAUUGUUGUUAGAUGAUAAAAUAUGAUUAAUACUUUAUACGUGACUUGUCUUUUAAUUUUUUUUUCAUAAUUUUUUUAAAUAAGACAGACGGUCAAACAUUAAACACAAAAACCAUGGUU
rnacentral:pre_miRNA from 1 species